GGGUAUGUAGCUCAGCGAUAGAGCAAUUGUCUAGCAUUCACAAGGCCCUGGGUUCAAUUCCCAGCACCG
rnacentral:tRNA from 1 species